rnacentral:lncRNA from 1 species
GCACAGCAGCUGCUGGCCCAGGUGCUAAGCCCCUCACUGCCUGGGGCUGGCGGGGCCGGCAGGCCGCUCCGAGUGCGGGCCCGCCGAGCCUACGCCCACCCGGAACUCGCGCUGGCCCGGAAGCACCGCGCGCAGCCCCGGUUCCGGCCCGCGCCUCUCCCUCCACACCUCCCCACAAGCUGAGGGAGCCGGCUGCGGCCUUCGCCAGCCCAGAAAGGGGCUCCUACAGUGCAGUGGCGGGCUGAAGGGCUGCUCAAGCGCCGCCAAAGUGGGAGCCCAGGCAGAGGAGGCGCCCAGAGCGAGCGAGGGCUGUGAGGACUGCCAGCACGCUGUCACCUCUCACUCAUAUAGAUUGCCAAUCUAUUUGUGAACCAGGUUUGCUGGAGUUUGGAUUUACUACUGAGUCAUAUUUGGAGCAUGCUGGAAUCUUACAACUGAGAUUACCGAGUCAGAAACUUGCAAACAUGAGUAACAUGGCCCUGCUCUGGAGACUACUGGGAACACAAACACAGCCAUUUAAGACAUCUACCUGCUUCUCCUUUGCCUUCCAUCAUGACUGAAAGUUGUCUGAGGUCUCCCAGCCACGUGUCCUGUACAGCCUGUGGAACUACUUUAAAGAAGAAUCAGAAAAUGGAGACUGGGAUUGGAAGCAGAGAUCCGAUGGCCAAAUUACAGUCUGCCACUGAAGCUAACACACCUAUGGAUAACCCAACCUGUAAACUCAAUGUGGAACACAGUUUGAGAAAAGAAGUGAGAAGAUUCAAUUUUGAAGUUGGAUCACUCUCCUACAGGCAAUGAAGACCACAUCACUGAUGAACUCUGACUAAUACAUCAUGAACUUGCAGAAUUUUGGAUAUUUGACAAAUCUGAGGAAUUGAAGAGACGGGCACCUCACCUUUUCUGAGCAGAAGAGUUCAUUUGAUGAAACCUGAAGUAGAGAGCA